rnacentral:rRNA from 1 species
GACAGAGGGUGCAAACGUUAUUCGGAAUUACUGGGCUUAAAGGGUGCGUAGGCGGCGCAGAAAGUAGGGUGUGAAAUCCCUCGGCUCAACCGAGGAACUGCGCCCUAAACUACUGUGCUCGAGGGAGGUAGAGGUGAGCGGAACUUAGGGUGGAGCGGUGAAAUGCGUUGAUAUCCUAAGGAACACCGGUGGCGAAAGCGGCUCACUGGACCUCUUCUGACGCUGAGGCACGAAAGCUAGGGUAGCGAACGGG